UGCGACCAUUUCAACCGAAGACGCUUGCAUGAUUUUUUUGUUGUUGUUGUUGUUGUUUUGAUUUUGAUUUUGAUUUUAAAAAAAAUUUCACCAAGUCGUACCUGUUGCCGUUGUGAUAAAAAUCAUUGAAAGAGAAAAAAAAUGACGAAAAAUAAAAAAUCUCCAUGGCUAUACUAUAUUUGAAAUGCCGUUAGUUUAUUUUUGUUCAUUUUGAAUGACUAACGAAACGAAACAAAAUAUUUCAAUGUUUUUGUGUGGCCAUUCAAGCCUGAUCAAUAUAACAGGAUCGGUUGGCGAUAUUAUUAUCAAAUACCACCAUCAGUUUUUGUUGUUGUUGUUGUUGUUUGCAGCAAUUUUUAUAUCCAGAAAAAAAACUUGACUCUUGACAAUUGACCUGUUGAUAAAUAAUAACCCAAAUAAAAGAACAACAACCAUCCAACCGAU